rnacentral:rRNA from 1 species
CGGACGGGUGAGUAAUACUUAGGAAUCUGCCCAUUAGUGGGGGACAACUCGAGGAAACUCGAGCUAAUACCGCAUACGCCCUACGGGGGAAAGCGGAGGACCUUUCGGGGCUUCGCGCUAAUGGAUGAGCCUAAGUCGGAUUAGCUUGUUGGUGAGGUAAAGGCUCACCAAGGCGACGAUCCGUAGCUGGUCUGAGAGGACGAUCAGCCACACUGGGACUGAGACACGGCCCAG